rnacentral:rRNA from 1 species
AGAGUUUGAUCCUGGCUCAGAACGAACGCUGGCGGCGUGCCUAACACAUGCAAGUCGAACGGGGCAUCGGGGGCAACCUUGGUGCUUAGUGGCGCACGGGUGAGUAACACGUAGGGAACCUGCCCCGGAGAGGGGGAUAACAUCGUGAAAACGGUGCUAAUACCGCGUAAGACCACGGGCUGGAAUGCCUGCGGCAAAAGGAGCGAUCCGCUCCGGGAUGGUCCUGCGGCCUAUCAGGUAGUUGGCGGGGUAACGGCCCACCAAGCCAAAGACGGGUAGCCGGUCUGAGAGGAUGGACGGCCACACUGGAACUGAGACACGGUCCAGACUCCUACGGGAGGCAGCAGUGGGGAAUUUUGCGCAAUGGGGGAAACCCUGACGCAGCGACGCCGCGUGGAGGACGAAGGCCUUCGGGUUGUAAACUCCUUUUGUGGGGGAAGAUUGUGACGGUACCCCAUGAAUAAGCCACGGCUAACUCUGUGCCAGCAGCCGCGGUAAGACAGAGGUGGCAAGCGUUGUUCGGAAUUACUGGGCUUAAAGGGCGCGUAGGCGGCAUGGUAAGUCGGUGGUGGAAUCCCGGGGCCUAACCUCGGAAUUGCCAUCGAAACUGCCUUGCUUGAGUCAGUGAGGGGAGGGCGGAAUUCCUGGUGUAGCAGUGAAAUGCGUAGAUAUCAGGAGGAAGGCCGGUGGCGAAGGCGGCUGCCUGGACCGAUAUUGACGCUGAGACGCGAAAGCGUGGGUAGCAAACAGGAUUAGAUACCCUGGUAGUCC